rnacentral:rRNA from 1 species
UACGUAGGGAGCAAGCGUUGUCCGGAAUCAUUGGGCGUAAAGCGCGCGUAGGUGGCCUCAUAAGUCCGCUGUGAAAGUCAAAGGCUCAACCUUUGAAAGCCGGUGGAUACUGUGAGGCUAGAGUACGGAAGAGGCGAGUGGAAUUCCUGGUGUAGCGGUGGAAUGCGUAGAGAUCCGGAAGAACACCGGUGGCGAAGGCGGCCUGCUGGGACAUUGCUGACGCUGAGGCGCGACAGCGUGGGGAGCAAACAGG